rnacentral:rRNA from 1 species
GGGAUGAUGAGGUUAGCAGAAAGUGGCGAACGGGUGAGUAACGCGUGGGUAAUCUACCCUGUUAAGUGGGGGAUAGCCCUCCGAAAGGAGGGCUAAUACCGCAUAAUAUCUUCUCCUCAUAAAGAGAAGAAGAUUAAAGAUGGCCUCUAUACUAUGCUAUCGCUUCAGGAUGAGCCUGCGUCCUAUUAGUUAGUUGGUGGGGUAAUGGCCUACCAAGACCACAAUGGGUAGCCGGUCUGAGAGGAUGUACGGCCACACUGGGACUGAGAUACGGCCCAGACUCCUACGGGAGGCAGCAGUGGGGAAUAUUGCGCAAUGGGGGAAACCCUGACGCAGCGACGCCGCGUGGAUGAUGAAGGCCCUUGGGUUGUAAAAUCCUGUUCUGGGGGAAGAAAGCUUAAAGGUCCAAUAAACCCUUAAGCCUGACGGUACCCCAAGAGAAAGCUCCGGCUAAUUAUGUGCCAGCAGCCGCGGUAAUACAUAAGGAGCAAGCGUUAUCCGGAAUUAUUGGGCGUAAAGAGCUCGUAGGCGGUCUUAAAAGUCAGGUGUGAAAUUACCAGGCUUAACCUGAUAAGGUCAUCUGAAACUUUAAGACUUGAGGUUAGAAGAGGAAAGUGGAAUUCCCGGUGUAGCGGUGAAAUGCGUAGAUAUCGGGAGGAACCACCAGUGGCGAAGGCGGCUUUCUGGUCUAUCUCUGACGCUGAGGAGCGAAAGCUAGGGGAGCAAACGGGAUUAGAUACCCCGGUAGUCCUAGCUGUAAACGAUGGAUACUAGGUGUGGGAGGUAUCGACCCCUUCUGUGCCGCAGCUAACGCAUUAAGUAUCCCGCCUGGGGAGUACGGUCGCAAGGCUGAAACUCAAAUGAAUUGACG